GGGCUUUGGGACUGCAAGGAGUGGUCACCUGCCUGUCACGCAGGAAAUCAGACGGGUUCAAUCCCCGUAAGGCUCG
rnacentral:tRNA from 1 species